rnacentral:rRNA from 1 species
GUCCACGCAGUAAACGAUGAGUGCUAAUUGUCGGGAUCUUAGAUUUCGGUGGUGAAGCUAACGCGUUAAGCACUCCGCCUGGGGACUACGACCGCAAGGUUAAAACUCAAAGGAAUUGACGGGGACCCGCACAAGCAGUGGAGCAUGUGGUUUAAUUCGAUGCUACGCGAAAAACCUUACCAGCUCUUGAAUCCUCAUUAUGAUUUUCAGAAAUGAAUUUCUUCACUUCGGGUGGGUGAGAGACAGGUGUUGCAUGGCUGUCGU